UUUUUUUUUUUUUUUUUUUGACGGAGUCUCGCUCUGUCGCCUAGGCUGGAGUGCAGUGGCAUGAUCUUGGCUGACUGCAACCUCCGACACCCGGGUUCAAGCAAUUCUCCUGCCUCAGCCUCCAGAGUAGCUGGGAUUACAGGCGCCCGCCACCACACCCAGCUAGUUUUUGUAUUUUUAGUACAGGCGGGGUUUCACCAUGUUGUUCAGGCUGGUCUCGAACUCCUGACCUCGUGAUCUGCCCGCCUUGGCCUCCCAGAGUGCUGGGAUUACAGGCAUGAGCCACCGCGCCCGGCCGAUUUCAGGUCUUAUUGAAUUUUCUGUGGGGAAAUUUAGAUACUUCGAGCUCAAUAGGCCCUUUCCAGAGGAAGCUAUUUUGCAUGAUAUUUCAAGCAAUGUGACUUUUCUUAUUUUCCAAAUACACUCACAGUAUCAGAAUACAACUGUUUCCUUUUCUCCGACUCUCCUUUCCAAUUCCUCGGAAACAGGCACUGCCAGUGGACUGGUUUUCAUCCUUAGACCAGAGCAGAGUACAUGCACUUGGUACUUGGGGACUUCAGGCAUACAGCCUGUCCAGAAUAUGGCUAUCCUACUCUCCUACUCAGAAAGAGAUCCUGUCCCUG
rnacentral:lncRNA from 1 species